GUCCGGUGAGGUUAGUGCUUGUGCGCUGGGCCAAGUCAACAUCCUCUUAGCGGUGUCUUGUCUCCUUCCUGAUUUAGAAAAGGCAAACCCACCUGCUGUCAUGAAAAAUACCUUCUAGAAGCUACCGGGUAAUUGGGUGAUAUUUCUGGAUUUGUCUCCCUGUCUAAUGUACAUCAGUUAAACUUUUGACUCUUCAGUGCCUUCUGGAGAAAGUAAUAAUCGGAAACUAAAUCGACUUGGUUUUUUCUCUCCCCCUUUGCCCCGUAUUUGUAAAGAUUAAUCUUCAGUAUCUAUGAGUGCUGGGUGAUUUGCGGAAACUGCAGCUGCUUUGUCAAUAUCAGCUUGGCCUCCAUUGAUCAAACCCUCAUUUAGGCGUUCACUGCCGUCUGCUGGAAACAGCCCAGGGAUGAGGAGGGAAGGGAAAAGGCCACUUCGGGAGGCCACCUUGCCUUGGAGUUUCCGUCGUUUUCCGAGGUGAGCUUGGAUGUCACUGCUCAGCACAGUUGAUUAAAGAGGUUGGUGCUGUGAGUGAGUCACUGUGUGGGAAUCAAUCCCGAUGGUGGCAGAUAUGAAUAAAGCGUCGGUGUAACUGUCCUGGCUGGAUUGUUUUUCUCCGUCUCACCAUACUGUUUUCCCUCUGCACGUGUCUGUGACCUCCGGCGGGCUUGCAGAUAAAAGUGAUGCAUCUUCAUUUUGUCGGAGGAGUUAAUUUUGUGUGUAUUCCAAGCAACAGCAGAGACCUGCAGAUGAGAACACCUUUAUGAAGAGCAAGACCAUGCUUUGAAGUUGGGCAGAGAUCUUGGUUCAAAUCCUGGCUCUGCCGCUUGUUAGCUAAGUCACUUCAGGUA
rnacentral:lncRNA from 10 species